GGCCCUGGUUAACAGUAGUGUCCCCUUCACCCUAUGGGCCCUGGUCAACAGUAGUGUUGAGGGUAAAGGGUGCACUACUGUUGACCAGGGCCCAUAGUGGUGUCCCCUUUACCUUAUGGGCCCCGGUCAAUAGUAGUGCAUGACAGAGGGGAUAGGAUUCAAUUUGGGACACUGGCCUGUUGGUCAUGUAUGUGCCUCCUUUAGUAAAUGCUAAAGUUAAAAAACGUCAUAUUGUACAAGAACAACAAUUCAUGUUGAUUGUAAGUGUGUUUCUUCUGCUACCUGAGCUGUGUUUUGACUGUGAUGAUGAUGGUGUGUUGUCAGGUUGUUUUUCUAUUGUGUUUACGUCCACUGUGUCCCUACUACAGUACAUGGCUCCUGUUAUAGCUGCUAGCUGGUAGCAUUGAAUAGGGAAGUCGUUCUGUGUCUCUGUAACAAAUGCCUCCCUAUUAACUGCACUACUUUGGACCAGGGCCCUAUGGGUCAUGGUCAAAAGUAGUGCACUAUGUAGGGAAUAAGGUGCAUUUUGGGAUGCAUCCUCGAUCUGUCCUGUUCCACACCACUAAUAGCUGAGCUGAACUGGUGUCCAGAUGUCACUCAGAGGCCUGUUGGGAUGCAUCCUCAAUCUGUCCUGCUCCACAGAGGUCAGGGGCCUGUAUCCUCAAUCUGUCCUGCUCCACAGAGGUCAGGAGCCUGUAUCCUCAAUCUGUCCUGCUCCACAGAGGUCAGGGGCCUGUAUCCUCAAUCUGUCCUGCUCCACAGAGGUCAGGGGCCUGUAUCCUCAAUCUGUCCUGCUCCACAGAGGUCAGGGGCCUGUAUCCUCAAUCUGUCCUGCUCCACAGAGGUCAGGGGCCUGUAUCCUCAAUCUGUCCUGCUCCACAGAGGUCAGGGGCCUGUAUCCUCAAUCUGUCCUGCUCCACAGAGGUCAGGGGCCUGUAUCCUCAAUCUGUCCUGCUCCACAGAGGUCAGGGGCCUGUAUCCUCAAUCUGUCCUGCUCCACAGAGGUCAGGGGCCUGUAUCCUCAAUCUGUCCUGCUCCACAGAGGUCAGGGGCCUGUAUCCUCAAUCUGUCCUGCUCCACAGAGGUCAGGGGCCUGUAUCCUCAAUCUGUCCUGCUCCACAGAGGUCAGGGGCCUGUAUCCUCAAUCUGUCCUGCUCCACAGAGGUCAGGGCCUGUUGGGAUGCAUCCUCAAUUUGUCCUGCUCCACAGAGGUCAGGGGCCUGUUGGGAUGCAUCCUCAAUCUGUCCUGCUCCACAGAGGUCAGGGGCCUGUUGGGAUGCAUCCUCAAUCUGUCCUGCUCCACAGAGGUCAGAGGUCAGGGGCCUGUUGGGAUCCAUUCCAAUAGAAGUCGGUCAGUUCAGGAAAUAAACUGAAAUUCCAAUUCAAUAAUUACAAUUAUUUCUCAAUAAACUGAAAAUGAGAAGCUAUUUAUUUCAGAAAGGUUUUUCCGUUUUCAUUAGGAAUCAGAUGGUUUUGGAGUCGGGGGCGAGUUUUCAGAAAGGUAUUUUCUCUGUUGAUGCUGUCAUCUAGAUGAUCUGCUGUGUCCAGUUUAAAUGAAUCCAUGUUACAGUGUCGACGGACCACCGAGACACCACCUAUCCUAAUUAGAUAUCUAGCAUGCACCUGACACCUGUGCUAAUUAGAUAUCUAGCGUGCACCUGACACCUGUGCUAAUUAGAUAUCUAGCGUGCACCUGACACCUGUGCUAAUUAGAUAUCUAGCAUGCACCUGACACCUGUGCUAAUUAGAUAUCUAGCAUGCACCUGACACCUGUGCUAAUUAGAUAUCUAGCAUGCACCUGACACCUAUGCUAAUUAGAUAUCUAGCGUGCACCUGACGCCUGUGCUAAUUAGAUAUCUAGCGUGCACCUGACGCCUGUGCUAGUUAGAUAUCUAGCGUGCACCUGACACCUGUGCUAAUUAGAUAUCUAGCAUGCACCUGACGCCUGUGCUAGUUAGAUAUCUAGCGUGCACCUGACGCCUGUGCUAGUUAGAUAUCUAGCGUGCACCUGACACCUGUGCUAGUUAGAUAUCUAGCGUGCACCUGACACCUGUGUGUAAUGGAAGCAGACCGCCAGAAAACGUGUUGUCACUGAAAUAUUCUGUCGGCUGGUCAAAACGGUGUACAGCAGCAGUGUAAAAAAUACAUUCUCAUACCUGAGUAAAAGUAAUGAUACUUUAAUAGAAAAGUGAGUCACCCAGUAAAAUACGACCUUAUGAGAAGGUCACAAAGCUCCUCUGCUCUCCAGGAGCUGGACCUCUCUCCUGCUUCAGCAACACCUGGACGCUCUAUUCAUUUUUAAACAAAAGUUUGUUCUUUGAGUGAAAGUCUUUGGUUUUAAAUAUACAUCAGUAUAAAAAGUCAACAUAAUUGCUAAAAUAUACUUACGGAUCAAAAGUAUGAAUGACCAUGUUCUCUUGAUGAGUGUAUAAAUCAGACCAUUUCCUGUCCUGCUAAGCAUUCAAAAUGUACUUUUUGGGUGUCAGGGAAAAUGUAUGGAGUAAAAAGUACAUUAUUUUUAGGAAUGUAGUACAGAUACCCCAAAACGUUUCACUAAAGGACUUCACACCACUUCAGGAAAUGUGUAUUUUACAUUUGCUAAAUUAUUUCGAUGUGAUAUGGAAGUAAAAGGGUUUUAUGUUUCUAGAAAUGUAUCGCAGUUGAGAAUCUGAUUCAUGUUUAGAUGGAGUGUCUGUUUUGGCUUCCAGUCUCUCUCUGAAAAUAACAGAAGGGCCUUGGACCUUAGAGUAACAUUAGGCCCCUUUAGAGGUCCUCUUGGGCCAGAACUGGCCCUGUUGUAAAUCUGGCACCACCAUCCUCCACAUCUCAACCCUGGAAACAGAAACGAGGGGAGAGUCUGGACAGUGAGGCCCACCGUGAGACCGUUUGGACUACAUGAGAAGGUCACAAAGCUCCUCUGCUCUCCAGGAGCUGAACCUCUCUCCUGCUUCAGCAACACCUGGACGCUCUAUUCAUUUUAAACAAAAGUUUGUCCUUCUUCCUGUCUGUUUUCGUUGGUUUGAAGACUUCUUUGAAACAGACUGAUGCUGAUAACCAGUUUUGUCCUUUUCUUUCUGUACAACGUUAUGGAUCUGCUGUUAUAUUUUUUGUUCAGGUUAUGCCGCGAUGUAAUAUUGAGAUUUUACAUUGUGCUUUUUUUUUUGCUGUACAGAUGAACAUUUUGUCAAUUUAAUAAAAUUGUCUGCAGAUUUUUACA